UGGCUGUUAGGUUCCAGUGCCUGAAAAAUAUUUGCUUUUCCUUACAUUGGCUGCUGGGCUCUAUUGUUCCUGGCAUGAGUAGUCGGCAUUCUGGUGGCCACCGGCAAGGCGUGUCUCCUUCCGAUGCCAUCUAUUCUGUCCACAGUAAGCGUGCUAACCCCUUGGGCCUUGGCCUUUGGGUAAGGAAGGCAUGGCAGGUCUACUGAUCUCCGGAGAACGCAUGAAUAAUUCUAGAGAAAGCAACAGCGGCCUCAUAUAUUUUCCUUUGCGAAAGAUCAAUGUUUUUAUAUCCAACAAGUCCUCAACUGUGAUAGCCCAGGUGAUAUUGUUGGACUUCCCCAUUUAGAUGAGGCCUACAGUACCGGUGUUUUAUUCUGGUCCAAGAAAUCCUAGCUCUCACUUACUAGGAUGAUACUUGGUCCUAUAAAUGGUGAACUCCAGGCUUUAGCACCUAAGAUGAGGCUUGCAGUGCCUGUAUUUUAUUGGUCUCCAAGAAAUCCUAGCUCUUGCUUAUGAGAUCAAUACUUGGUCCUAUAAAUGGGGAACUCCUGGUUUUAGCACCUAAGUUAUAUAAAGUUCCCACUGGAAAUUAUAUAAUCCCUUAAAAGGAUGGUAUUUGGAUAAACAAGUUAGAUGCUUUUCAAAUUCCAAUGGAGAAGAUAUUUUCUGUUUAUAAUUUUCAUUGCACUUGGGACAUGACGAGAUGGAGGCUCAUAGUAUUACAUGAGUUAUGGGAAAUUCUACA